rnacentral:rRNA from 1 species
UACGGGGGGGGCAAGCGUUGUUCGGAAUUACUGGGCGUAAAGAGCGCGUAGGCGGAAGCUUAAGUGUGGCCUGAAAGCCUCCGGCUCAACCGGGGAAGGUGGCUGCAAACUGGGCUUCUUGAGGGGGAUAGGGGAAAGUGGAAUUCCGGGUGUAGCGGUGAAAUGCGUAGAGAUCCGGAGGAACACCAGUGGCGAAGGCGGCCUUCUGGACGGUAACUGACGCAUGAGACGCGAAAGCGUGGGGAGCAAACAGG